GCGCGUCGUGCAGGACCAGGUGGAGCAGGACGGCGAGGGCUCGCAUUUCGAGGAGGUGAACUGAGCAAGGGCAACUGAGCAGGGG
rnacentral:SRP_RNA from 13 species